GACGAACGCUGGCGGCGUGCUUAACACAUGCAAGUCGAACGGAAAGGCCCUGCUUUUGUGGGGUGCUCGAGUGGCGAACGGGUGAGUAACACGUGAGUAACCUGCCCUUGACUUUGGGAUAACUUCAGGAAACUGGGGCUAAUACCGGAUAGGAGCUCCUGCUGCAUGGUGGGGGUUGGAAAGUUUCGGCGGUUGGGGAUGGACUCGCGGCUUAUCAGCUUGGUGGUGGGGUAGUGGCUUACCAAGGCUUUGACGGGUAGCCGGCCUGAGAGGGUGACCGGCCACAUUGGGACUGAGAUACGGCCCAGACUCCUACGGGAGGCAGCAGUGGUGAAUAUUGCACAAUGGGCGGAAGCCUGAUGCAGCAACGCCGCGUGCGGGAUGACGGCCUUCGGGUUGUAAACCGCUUUCGCCUGUGACGAAGCGUGAGUGACGGUAAUGGGUAAAGAAGCACCGGCUAACUACGUG
rnacentral:rRNA from 1 species